rnacentral:rRNA from 1 species
GUGGGGAAUUUUGGACAAUGGGCGAAAGCCUGAUCCAGCCAUGCCGCGUGCAGGAUGAAGGCCUUCGGGUUGUAAACUGCCUUUGUACGGAACGAAAAGACUCCUUCUAAUAAAGGGGGUCCAUGACGGUACCGUAAGAAUAAGCACCGGCUAACUACGUGCCAGCAGCCGCGGUAAUACGUAGGGUGCAAGCGUUAAUCGGAAUUACUGGGCGUAAAGCGUGCGCAGGCGGUUAUAUAAGACAGAUGUGAAAUCCCCGGGCUCAACCUGGGAACUGCAUUUGUGACUGUAUAGCUAGAGUACGGUAGAGGGGGAUGGAAUUCCGCGUGUAGCAGUGAAAUGCGUAGAUAUGCGGAGGAACACCGAUGGCGAAGGCAAUCCCCUGGACCUGUACUGACGCUCAUGCACGAAAGCGUGGGGAGCAAACAGGAUUAGAAACCCGGGUAGUCC